GCUUUCCUGUGGCUCAGUAGGUAGAGCAUUAUGCUAACAACACAAGAGUAGUGGGUUCAAUUCCCAGGGAAAACA